CCCGCUGGGAAGACAGAGGCGGCAAAUCCAGCCUCCCCCUUCCCCUCCCGCAAAGGGCGAUGUGUGUGCAGCCUGGCAGCCAUCACGAAACCAGGAGGUGGACAAGCUGAGCAUGAAGCCAGCUUGCUGGACUGAUGGGGAUGGCAGAACCACAAGCUGGGGACAGUCAGAAUCCCUCAGCCCCUGCUUGGAGGAGAACCAUCUGAGCGGCAGAAGCUGUGGGUGAAUGAGAAAUAACCCUCUGUUUUGUGAAUCCACCGAGACACCCUCCCGUUUGCUUCACGAGUGAAACUGUACAUUAAAUUAUACCUCAGUACACUUCAUAAAAGAGAAAAAGAAAAUGAAUGGUGGAGAAGAAGUUGAUCCGGAGAAGAUCAGAACCCAAAGGGCUGUUGAGCUGCCCCUGGACCUCCAAGCAGGACUCAUGCAGGAAGCGGGUUCUGUGCCUUAACCUCUCGAGGUGGGAUUGACCCUAUACCGAAGACGUGUAAUACUAACUAAACUGUGCUUCUCCCGAAGGGAGAAGGGAAAAGUUAAACUAGAGCCUUGCAGAUGAGAUGGGAUAACCCAAUACUGUCAAAGACCCCAGCCCGGGUCUCAGGCUUCAAGGUCAGCUUCAAAACUGCUCAUCUCCUGUGGCCUGGGAGCCCCCCGCAACACUAAACGGAGUCAUCCGGAAACUCAGUUAUGCACAGGUAUUCCUGAACCCUGUGAACUGUCCUUGGCUGAACCUGGCUCCCCUCUGCCAGGCCUGCCAGGCUCUGUUUGAAGAGCUUGCAAAUAUAUAGGGUUGAAAAUGAAAAAACAUUCUCUCCAGGGCUAGACCAAGUCCUGGGGUUAAGACUUGUUAGGAAAGCCCACCUGCUAUCCUUUGAAAUAGAUAAAAGACAUUUCAAUCUCUUGCCAUGAAAAACCCCGGGCACUCCCGGCUCCCCCUUCAGCUCUCCCACACCCUGCUCCCCCCACCCCAAAACCCUAUAAUUAAAAAGACUCUUUUCAGACUGGA